AGCGAACGCUGGCGGCAGGCCUAACACAUGCAAGUCGAACGAAGCCUUCGGGCUUAGUGGCGGACGGGUGAGUAACACGUGGGAACGUACCUUUUGGUUCGGAACAACUCAGGGAAACUUGCGCUAAUACCGGAUGAGCCCUUAGGGGGAAAGAUUUAUCGCCGAAAGAGCGGCCCGCGUUAGAUUAGCUAGUUGGUGAGGUAAAGGCUCACCAAGGCUACGAUCUAUAGCUGGUCUGAGAGGAUGAUCAGCCACACUGGGACUGAGACACGGCCCAGAAUCCUACGGGAGGCAGCAGUGGGGAAUCUUGCGCAAUGGGCGAAAGCCUGACGCAGCCAUGCCGCGUGAAUGAUGAAGGUCUUAGGAUUGUAAAAUUCUUUUACCAGGGACGAUAAUGACGGUACCUGGAGAAAAAGCCCCGGCUAACUUCGUGCCAGCAGCCGCCGUAAGAC
rnacentral:rRNA from 1 species